rnacentral:rRNA from 1 species
UCAAGCUACAAAGGGCGCAUGGUGAAUGCCUUGGCAUCAGGAGCCGAUGAAGGACGUGAUAAGCUGCGAUAAGCUUCGGGUAGGCGCACAUAGCCAGUGAUCCGGAGAUUUCCGAAUGAGGGAACUCACAUGGGAAACCCCAUGUACCGUAUAGUGAAUACAUAGCUAUAUGGAGGUAAACCUAGGGAACUGAAACAUCUAAGUACCUAGAGGAAGAGAAAGAAAAAUCGAUUUUCUGAGUAGCGGCGAGCGAAAGGGAAAGAGCCCAAACCAGUGACUUGUCACUGGGGUUGCGGACAGAACAUUAACGAGAAGAUGUUGUUAACCGAACAUAACUGGAAAGUUAGACCGUAGGAGGUAAUAGUCCUGUAGGUGAAAGCGACAUUGAUCAAGUUCUGAUCCAGAGUACCACGAGACACGUGAAACCUUGUGGGAAGCAGGGAGGACCACCUCCCAAGGCUAAAUACUACCUGAUGACCGAUAGUGAAGCAGUACCGUGAGGGAAAGGUGAAAAGAACCCCGGGAGGGGAGUGAAAUAGAACCUGAAACCGUGUGCCUACAACCGGUCAAAGCCCCUUAUGAGGGUGAUGACGUGCUUUUUGUAGAACGAGCCAACGAGUUACGGUAUGUAGCAAGGUUAAGUACUUAAGGUACGGAGCCGAAGGGAAACCGAGUCUUAAUAGGGCCGUCGGAUAUGUGUAGUGGAGGUAGAGCACUGAAUGGGCUAGGGGGCAUAUCGCUUACCGAACCUUAUCAAACUCCGAAUGCCAUAUACAUUAAGUCCGGCAGUCAGACUACGAAUGAUAAGAUCCGUGGUCAAAAGGGAAACAGCCCAGACCGUCAGCUAAGGUCCCAAAGUGUAAGUUAAGUGGAAAAGGAUGUGGGAUUUCUAAGACAACUAGGAUGUUGGCUUAGAAGCAGCCACUCAUUUAAAGAGUGCGUAAUAGCUCACUAGUCGAGAGAUCCUGCGCCGAAAAUGUACCGGGGCUAAACUUACCACCGAAGCUACGGAUUUGCAAGUAAUUGCAAGUGGUAGGGGAGCGUCGUAAUCGGGCUGAAGUCGUACCGGAAGGAGCGGUGGACUGAUUACGAGUGAGAAUGUUGGCAUUAGUAGCGAGAUGUAGGUGAGAAUCCUACAGGCCGAAUAUCUAAGGUUUCCUCAGGAAGGCUCGUCCGCUGAGGGUUAGUCGGGACCUAAGCCGAGGCCGAAAGGCGUAGGCGAUGGACAAUCGGUUGAUAUUCCGAUACCACUACCAUCGUUAUUAUCGAGGGUGUGACGGAGAAGGAUAGUGUGUGCUAGCGAUUGGAAAUGCUAGUCUAAGCGUUUAGGGAGUUACGGUAGGCAAAUCCGCUGUAACAAUUCUGAGGCGUGAUGGGGAAGGUCAUUAAGACCGAAGUACAUGAUUCCAUGCUUCCAAGAAAAGCAUCUAGAGAGAGAAGUAGUGCCCGUACCGCAAACCGACACAGGUAGAUGAGGAGAGAAUCCUAAGGCCGGCGGAAGAAUUGCAGUUAAGGAACUAGGCAAAUUGACCCCGUAAGUUCGCGAGAAGGGGUGCCUGCGAGAGCAGGCCGCAGAGAAUAGGCCCAAGCAACUGUUUAGCAAAAACACAGGUCUCUGCUAAAGCGUAAGCUGAUGUAUAGGGGCUGACGCCUGCCCGGUGCUGGAAGGUUAAGGGGAACACUUAGCGCAAGCGAAGGUGUGAACUUAAGCCCCAGUAAACGGCGGCCGUACCUAUAACGGUCCUAAGGUUGCGAAAUUCCUUGUCAGGUAAGUGCUGUCCCGCACGAAUGGCGUAUUGACUUGGGCACUGUCUCAACUGCAAAUCCGGCGAAGUUGUAGUGCGAGUGAAGAUGCUCGCUACCCGCGAUUGGACGGAAAGACCCCGUAGAGCUUUACUGUAGCUUAGCAUUGAAUUCCGGUAUUGUCUGUAC